AUUCCAGAGACAGACGUGUUCACUGUUAAAUAAUUUGUAGUAAGAGGCUUUCGAUACAAACCCGAUUGGGAACAGUAGGCGUGCAAAUUGGAUACGGCCUUUGAAACACCUCCAAAAGACACAGAAAUCGUAUUAAAUUCAACCUGUUUACAACCAAUAAAACUAUCGUCUUGAUGGACCAUAUAAUCUGACCUAAAAACUCCCAAGCUUAAGGGUUGAAAUUGAUUUUCCUUUAAGUGAGCAACAGCUUCGCGAUGCUUUUGAUACAGAUUCCAAAGUUUGUUCAUAAACUCAUCAUACUUUGUAAUCGAUUGUAAAUGAAGUCUAAGAAAUUCAUAGUCGUUUGCAAUUUUAGCGUAAAGUUUGUUGUAUGCCUUCUGUACAGAGACAGCCUCGACAAAUGCACCAUGAGGAAUGACCGAGGGAAAUAAUGUAAUAGGAAUUUGAGUAGCAAUAUUCCUCCCCUCCUUCGAAACUGACAGCUCGGUGAAUACUACCCCAUGGGCAAAUGCAAAGUCUCGUGCGCCUUUUCCAAGCUCUUCAAUUUGCUCCGGUGUAUACUUCUCAAUUUCCAUUGUGAUAAAUAAAUCUACUAAAAUAAAACCCCAAAAGCAAUUUAAAUAUACUGCUAGAACACGAUUAACGCAUAUAUAUGCUGGAGAAAGAAAUUAGUUCACAG